UUCAGAUGAGCUCAUGGAUGUGAACACCUUCUGAGGGUCACAGAGCGACACUUGAAUGCCAGCCAUCAUUUGUUCACGUAUAUUAACUCUUACUUUCUACAACACUAGGAGAUAGAUAUCAUCCCCUCCUUUCACAGAUGUGGAGACUCCAAUGAGUAGACCUUUGAGGAUCUGACCUUCCAACUCAAAUCUCCCCAUCCAAUGCUCUUCCCCUCUGUGCUCAGGCACCAUCCUCGGCUCCCAUCCCUGCUCACAGCUGCAUCAUGUGCAUACUGUGAGCAUCACAUUGUAUAGUCUUACCUUAAGUCUGGGGUCCAAUCAGUUGUCAAGAGCCACACACUGGGAAGAGGGAGAUCAAGGAAAACCAGCCAAGCUCCUCCCAAUAUGAGGAUGUUUGCCAAGUUCCAGGGAGCACCUGCUACCCCCAGCCCUGGGUGAAGUAAGCACUGGAGAGAACAGACAGGAUACAAUGGCAUUGCCCUGAGAAGGCUUUUUAUCUGGCUGAGGCAAGGACUUAGAGACACAGGUAAGCAACAGUCAAGUACAAAACAGCACAUGGUUAGGUGCCAGGUGAGUGAGGAGACCAGAUGGACAUUUCAGGUACUCCAUGUAAAGACACUGGCAAUUUCUGAAGCUCCUUGUGGCCCCAAGAGGCCCAAAAGCUGUCUCAAUCUGGGAAGACACCAAAUCUGUAUGAUCUCUCCUUUUUCCUUAACCCCACUUCUCAGGUCCUCCUCUCAGCCCUGUUCCUUCCUGUCCCCAAAGCUCUGCCUUAUCCUCUUCCCCUCUAACCCAGUGCUGUCCAAUGGAGAUAGAAUGUGAGCCAUGUAAGUAAUCUUAAAUUGUGUAACACACAUAUUAAAAAGAGAAACAGGUGAAAUUAAUCUUAAUAUAUUUAAUUCAACCCAGCAUAUUCUAAAUGAAAUUAUUUCAUCAUGUAAUCAAUAUUUUAAAAAUGAUUGAGAAUUGUACAUUCUUCACAUCAAGCUUUCAAAAUCUGGUGUGUGUUUUAUCCUUACAGCACAUCUCAAUUCAGACCAGCCACACUCCAGUGCUCGACAGCCACCUGUGGCUCACGGCCUGUACUGGACAGUGCAGCUGGAACCCAAUGGAUGAUUUUUUAAGGUCCCACUUAUGUCCCUCACUCAUCUACAGGCUCCAUGAAGUCAGAUAUCAAACAUUUCCAUUGCUACAUUCUCCAGGCCUAAUCUGCAUCCUCCCAGAGUGGCUCUUCAGUGAACAUCUACUGAAUUGAACAGACAUGCACAGAGCAGAUGGACAGCACUAGGGACUUGUCCUCUGGCCCCAGAGGCCCAUGAAAGAGUAUCCAGGCAGGCUGGACUAUGCUGGGAAGGGGGAAGGCCUGGGCCCUCAUCGAAAGGGAAGGACCCCAAAAGGAAGAGAAACCCAUCAACAUCCUGUUAACUAAACGGAGAGAAAUGCUGUUUAGGGGAAAAAAAAAAAAACAUAAUAAAUAAAAUUCCUGAGAGAAGCUGCUAAGUCAGGGAGCACCACACUCAUCCCCUUCUGCAAGAGAAUGAGAAGAUGGAGCUACAGCUCCCGUCCCACAUCAGCAUCUGGUGUGGCCUUCCCGCCACGGGCCAUGGGUCGGACCUGGCUCCACAGACAAAGGGGCUGCUUAGGCUGGGCUUGAAAUAGGCUGAGUGAAAACCUGCGAGCCCCUGGCUGCUUCCCUGUGCAUGGAAAGGAGCUGUUGGUGAGUAUGGAGAUCUCUGCCCUUGUCAGAGGAAGGCUUCCUCAUCACAAGGCAGGGCAGGUGUCUGUGCCCAAGAGCUGAGCAGAGAACAAGCAGCCAGUGGAGGCUUUCGCCUGAACUGUGCAAUCCUUACCUGAUUGGGAAGUGCAAGUGACAAUUAAUAAAUUAAUAGCGAGUCACUUUAUGUAAAUACCUCUCUUUUUGUACACUAUAUUUAGAGAAACAAACUGCUUUGGCAUUUAGAGAUAAAUUUUAUGUAAGAGUUUAUUGCUGCUUCUGCUGUUGUUACUGUUCAUCAUCCAGAUAAUAAAAGCAAACUAGAAAUACUCAAA